rnacentral:rRNA from 1 species
CCUACGGGUGGCAGCAGUGGGGAAUAUUGGACAAUGGGGGGAACCCUGAUCCAGCCAUGCCGCGUGUGUGAAGAAGGCCCUCGGGUUGUAAAGCACUUUCAGUGAGGAAGAACGCCUGGUGGUUAAUACCCAUCAGGAAAGACAUCACUCACAGAAGAAGCACCGGCUAACUCCGUGCCAGCAGCCGCGGUAAUACGGAGGGUGCGAGCGUUAAUCGGAAUUACUGGGCGUAAAGCGCGCGUAGGUGGCUUGAUAAGCCGGUUGUGAAAGCCCCGGGCUCAACCUGGGAACGGCAUCCGGAACUGUCAAGCUAGAGUGCAGGAGAGGAAGGUAGAAUUCCCGGUGUAGCGGUGAAAUGCGUAGAGAUCGGGAGGAAUUCCAGUGGCGAAGGCGGCCUUCUGGACUGACACUGACACUGAGGUGCGAAAGCGUGGGUAGCAAACAGGAUUAGAUACCCCUGUAGUC